rnacentral:rRNA from 1 species
AUUGAACGCUGGCGGCAGGCCUAACACAUGCAAGUCGAGCGAGCGGCGGACGGGUGAGUAAUGUAUGGGGAUCUGCCCGAUCGAGGGGGAUAACUACGGGAAACGGUGGCUAAUACCGCUUACGAGCGGUUGAACCCAUAUGGGAUUAGCUAGUAGGUGGGGUAAAGGCUCACCUAGCGACGAUGUCUAGCUGGUCUGAGAGGAAGCUCGGCCACACUGGUACUGAGACACGGCCCAGACUCCUACGGGAGGCAGCAGUGGGGAAUAUGGCGCAAUGGGGGCAACCCUGACGCAGCCAUGCCGCGUGAAUGAAGAAGGCCUUCGGGUUGUAAAGUUCUUUCGGUAGCGAGGCGUUAACUACAGAAGAAGCACCGGCUACUCCGUGCCAGCAGCCGCGGUAAUUC